GAUGAACGCUAGCGGCAGGCUUAACACAUGCAAGUCGAGGGGUAACAGAGUAGCUUGCUAUUGCUGACGACCGGCGCACGGGUGCGUAACGCGUAUAGAACCUACCUUUUUCAGAGGGAUAGCCCAGAGAAAUUUGGAUUAAUACCUCAUAGUAAAUAACAUUCGCAUGUUUGUUAUUUUAAAGAUUUAUCGGAAAAAGAUGGCUAUGCGUCAUAUUAGUUAGUUGGUGAGGUAACGGCUCACCAAGACUACGAUAUGUAGGGGUCCUGAGAGGGAGAUCCCCCACACUGGUACUGAGACACGGACCAGACUCCUACGGGAGGCAGCAGUGAGGAAUAUUGGACAAUGGAGGCAACUCUGAUCCAGCCAUGCCGCGUGUAGGAAGACUGCCCUAUGGGUUGUAAACUACUUUUGUAUAGGAAGAACUAUAGGUAUGUAUACUUAUUUGACGGUACUAUAAGAAUAAGGAUCGGCUAACUCCG
rnacentral:rRNA from 1 species